GCGACCCCAGGAUGGGCGAGGCCCC
rnacentral:rRNA from 1 species